GCCUAUAUAAACAGGGUUGAUGGUAUGUAGUAGCUUGGUGUGAGAGGCUAAGAUAAAACCCCAGCUGUUUCUGAAGAUAUCGCCUGCUGCUAUCAAGAGGUUCAGGUUAGCAAUUCUAAGCAUUACAAGGACCUGUAGGACCUAUGUUUUUUAACUGCUUUCCUGAAGAGAGGGUGGAAAUGUACACGCCUGGCUAUUUUAGGAAUCCUUCUUUCUUGAGUGUGCUUAUACUUUAUGAAAUGCGAGCUCGGGGAAUGUGAAUAAUAAAGCUGAAUUAUCGUCCUUGAGUGUUUGUAGAUUAAGGAUAUUGGGCAUGAGUGAGUCGCAGCAAAAGCUGAAUUAGGUUUAAAAUAUCAGCAAUAACAACAGAAAGGAUGGCCCAACUAAGUGUUGGACAUGUCAUUGUAAUUCUUAAGGGAUUCAGGUACAGCUUAAGAUUUGCCUUCUUCACUGACGCAGACACAACGCACCAGGAGGGCAGUGAGCUUGCUCAAGUCACCAGCCAGCGUCCAUGAUGCCUCCUGCUGACCAGUCCACAAAGAAAUAGCUAUCUGCAAAACAAGCUGUUUGUUUUAUUUCAAAGCCCCAGUGGGCCCAGCCCUUCUUGCCCAGCAGCUACAGUAGGCUCCAUUCCUGCUUGGUGCCUGGCCUGGGAAGAGAUUGCUCGCUGGCCCACGAGAGUGGUUCUCUGUAAUUGUCUUGCGGGGAAUGCUGUGUGAGAGGAUCUGGCUCUUUUUUUAAUUGUUUGUUUUAUUAAAGUUUGUUUAUUAAAGCGAAUAUCUGGUCACAAUGGAAACGUGUUUUGUGAAGCCUGUGUGUUGCCAAGAGAGCAGGGUAGAGCACUGAUCAGGUUAUUGCUUCCCCAGGAUCAGAAGUACAUGCGCAGCUCUGCAGGCCCCAUGGGCAGCGUCCCGGCGUCUCUUCUCUUCCCUCUUCCAGUGCAGUGAUGGCUCCCCGUGGUUCUACAGGCGGGACGGUGAGGUGGGAGUUGCUCUGCCUGUGGCGUUUCCAAAAAACAAAGGCAUCCUGCCCCUCAGCCAUGUAAAUUUUCCUACAUACAAAUGUUCAUUGCAGUCUUUUACAUUCCUCUGCUGACAGUGAAGAGGCCAUGUAAUAUCAAACUGGUGGAGAAACUGGACAUCAUCUUUACCCAGGAUGCCCAAAUUAAUUCUACCAAAACAAGAGAGUUUUGGCUCUAAACUAUUCCACAUCUACUACUGGAAAGAAGCAGGUGACCUCUGGAGUUCCCAGGUGCAUGGGUGUGCUUAGAUCAUGAGUCCGCCACCUCCAUCAUUUCUACUGUAGGAGUCUGGGUUUUGACUACAGAAGGCAGAAUCAUCUACUGAAGUGUGGGAAUAAGAGCCUUCAGGACUCCCUUAGCCAGAGGGAUAGAAGCCCAGGAAUUCACAAAACCAAUUGAAUUUGGCAGGAUUGGAAAUGUUCCCUUUCAAAACGUGAAGGAACAAGGUUCAGGAGUGGGCUCUGGAUAUUUGAGGAAGUUCAGCAAUACCGGGUUGGAAGAUUGAGGUUGGAAGUGAUCUCUAAUAGUCAUCUUGUCUACACCACCUGUUCAAGCAUGGUCACCUAGGGCAGGUUGCCCAGGACUCUGUCCAGAUGGCUUUUAAUCUUCUUUACCCUAGAGAUAGAUAUUUGUAACUGGCACUGACCUUCUGGCAAGAAAACUUUAACAUACCAAUCUUUGAAGCUUACGUCCACUGCUCCCAUUUUACCAGAAGAGUGUUUGAGCAUUGCAAAGAUUUCUGGAGAACACUUUUUCAUAACAUGCUUUUGACCUCCCAGGUUCUGGCUUGUAUAGAUCUUGGCAGAAGGGUCCAUGUUAUCACAAUCUGAGUACAGCUUUGGGGCCUAUGUUCACAUUGUUCGUAACUUCAUGUUUUGCUAGCUGAUUCUCUCUCCAUUCUGUAUUGGGUUUGCGUGGCAAGGUUUUGGUAGCAAGGGGGGAGGCUACAGGGGUGCCUUCUGUGAGAAGCUGCUAGAAGCUUCCCCCGUGUCCGGCAGAGCCAGUGCCAACCAGCUGCAAGACAGACUCGUCGCUGGCCAGGGCCAAGCCCAUCAGUGACAGUGGUAGUGCCUCUGGGAUAACGUAUUUAGGGGGAAAAAAAAAUACAAAACUGCACAAGAGCAAUGGCAGCUGGAGAGAGGAGUGAGCAUACGUGAGAGGAACAGCCCUGCAGACACCAGGGUCAGUGAAGAAGGAGGGGGAGGAGGUUCUUUAGCACCGGAGCAGAGAUUCCCCUGCAGCCCCUGGAAGACCCCACGCCAGAGCAGGUGGACGCACCUGAAGGAGGCUGUGACCCUGUGGGAAGCCCACGUUGGCGCAGGCUCCUGGCAGGACCUGUGGCCCCGUGGAGAGAGGAGCCCACGCUGGAGCAGGUUUGCUGGCAGGACUUGUGACCCUGUGGGGGACCCAUGGUGGAGCAGUCUGUUCCUGAAGGACUGCACCCUGUGGGAGGGACCCAUGCUGGAGCAGUUUGUGAAGAACUGCAGCCAUGGGAAGGACUUACAGUGGAGAAAUUUGUGGAGGACUGUCUCCUAUGGGAGGGACCCCACACUGGAGCAGGGGAAGGGUGUGAGGAGUCCUCCCCCUGAGGAGGAAGGAGUGGCAGAGACAACGUGUGAUGAACUGACCACAACCCCCCCCCCCCCCCCCAUUCCCCUGUGCUGCUUCCGGGGGGGAGGAGGUAGAGAAAUCAGGAGUGAAGUUGAGCCCGGGAAGAAGGGAGGGGUGAGGGGAGGUGUUUUAAGAUUUGAUUUUAUUUCUCAUUACCCUACUGAUUUGAUUGGUAAUUAAAUUAAUUUUCCCCAAGUGGAAUCUGUUUUGCCCAUGACAGUAAUUGGUGAGUGAUCUCUCCCUGUCCUUAUCUCGACCCAUGAGGCUUUCAUUAUAUUUUCUCUCCCCCGUCCAGCUGAGGAGGGGAGUUACAGAACAGCUUCGGGGGGCACCUGGCAUCCAGCCUCGGUCAACCCACCACACAGUCACAGACUCCAGAAGGAAAUGGAGUGGGGUUAUCCUGGAUGCAUUUUACCUCUUAACCAAAAUAUCCUUGGGGAUUCAUUUGAGUACUGAAGUGCUUAAAUUGUGUCUUUUUCCUGUAUUCCUUGUAGUAUAUUAGGACCUUUGGAGAGCCAAACACUUUUCUGAAAACCAAACACUUCUAAAGAAUAAGCCAUCAUUUGUGAGUGUGAUCUUAACUAAGACUUUCCAGCUGAACUAGUUAUAAGUUUUAUGCCUGAAAUCUGUAUGCAGAGGGUUAAGAAUUUACCCCUUUGUGGCCUGAUGAAUGUAUAUAUAACAUUUAUUUAAACUCUCUAGAGAUAGAAAGUGAAAAAGAUAAAAUCCUGCUAACCUGUCUAGGGAACUUAACUGUGCUGCUUCACUUAAACCACUCUAGUCUUGGACAGUCAUCUAAAUGACAUGUAAAUAACUGUCACCUCAGGACCUUUAGCAAGGCUUACUGCUUUGUAUUUGACUUAUUAGAAGCUUUUAAUGGCUAGUAUGAAGUCACAGGAUAGAGCCACAGAUCUAUAGUUACACAUUCAGAAGACUCUAUUAAAGGCCUUUUUAGCUUUGCUGUGAAUGUACAGUUUGAGAAUUUCCAGGAGAGUAUAUUUUCUGAGACAAAUUUCAUUGCCUUAGGAUAAUUCUAUUUUUUUUUCUUUAAUGUGAUUUGUCAUGGUACAACCUAGACAUUUUCCAUGUGGGUUUACUCUGUGCUUUCUGUGGCCUGCAAGGAAUUAGUUUUAAUUAAUAUGACUGGCAAAUGCAUUGUUGAAAUAGUCGUUGUGGCAGGCACGCCUUUGUGUUAACAGUUGGGUUAAACAGCCCCUUUAUCAGAGCUAUUAGCACCUAAUAUUACCGUCUGAUUAAAGAUCAUUCAGCGGAUUAUCCAGUCCCAAUGCUUCCACAGACCCCCAGACAGGUGCUCAAAUAAGAAAUUAUGUUAAGUAAAUUAGCACUAGUAUCGUUCAUAGCUUUGUCUUGGCUGCAGAAAAGGAAAAAGUUAUUGGACUGUUUGGGUUUUUGGGGGGGUUUUUUUGUCCCUGUUAAGCAGCAGGUUAACUUGUACAAUCCCUGUAGAUUUACAUUGCAAAAAAGGCAAGAUCAGCACUAAGGCCUUUGUCCUAUAGUUGACCUGACCUUCCUAUCUCAUCAAAGAGUACUCUGCCUUUCCUCCACCCAGGUUGGUUAGGAGGAUAGGUGUGCUUUUACACUAAAAACAUUGUAUUUUGGGGUGGUUUUUUGACAGUGGAAGCAGCAUGCAAUGUAGACAGUCUAUCCUGUGUCUCUAGAAAUGCAUUUUAUUUUAAAUUCAUGCAUUUAGAUUGGGCUCAUAGGUAAACUGGAAAUGCGUAACUUAAGAAGGCAGGAAAUCCCACGAGUUCACAGAGCAUAGCUUAGCUGACAGUUCACUUUUUAAUGGGUGUAAUGAAGCCUUGACAUUAAUGAGCACAGGCCCCCUGACUUCAGUGGAACUUUGCAUCCUUAUACCAGUUAGAUUUCUGGCUCAAUUGUGUCGGAUGGCAAUUUAUAGUACCUUUCAUGUCCCCCUGAAAAGCUAUGUGUCCUGUGUAGCCUGGGGACUGUUUCUGACAACAAGGCUGCAGAGCAGAAAAUAGUGGGCUGUUGACAGACAAGAUCCCAAAGUUUUUGUGUGCCUUGAAACAAGAGCACUGUGUCUUGUCCCUGUUGAUUUCUCUUAACUUUGAAAGGGCCAAGAGUUUAAUAUAGCUGGAAUGAGAACUAGCCCAUAGGUAGGGCUAGCAUUACCAUAGGAACUAUCUGAGUAGUGCUCAUUGUAGGAUAAAGAAUUUUCUUAGGUGUCUAUAAAAGAAACAUUAAAAUAAGCACUAUUUAUUGUUGAAGUGUUAUUCUUUGCUGCUCUCUUUGGAGAGGGUGUCAGAAGGACACCCUGGUGUCAAGUGAAUUUGCACGUGUGCUACCUCAUGUUGCUUAAAAACAUGCGCUAAAAAAAAAAUAAUAUCAGACUGCGUCUGGUUAGAUGGAGAUGAGUCUAAGAUGCCUGGGGACUCUGACAAAAAAAAAAAAAAGAAAAGGAGCUAGCUUGGAGACUCUAGUUCAGUCUUGCUCUAAAUAGACUGCCUCAUAGGUUAGAAAGUGGUGACAUGUGAAGGGAGCUUUAAAGAUGCAACACAGCAUUAUGAGACAAACCCCUUCUCCCUCCACUGCCAAACCCCCGAAGCAUCACAUUCUGUAAAAGAUGCAUUAGAUUUAUCAAUAGACCUUUCUUUAUUCAACUGCUGCAAUUCCUUUUGGGAAAAAUUGGAUUUUCACCAAAGACACAGAAGACUAUAAAAUUGGAAGCAGAUGUGUGGUUGGAUUGGAUAGCUCUAUGGCUGUUUCUUUUGUGGAAGCACUUUUGAACAAACCAGCCUUAUGUGCUCCUUGCUGUCUUGCCCCACGUAACUCUCUUGCCUGCUUUUUACAUUUUCCAGAGAACCAGGAGGUGCACUGUGACUAACUGAUCUAAAUGUAAACUUCUUCCCUAUCGCAUCAUCUAUCUCUUGAUUUUCCAACUGUUCCUGUAUUCUUUGGAAGAUGUGUUUAAACAAUAACCUCAACAUUUUGCAUUGUUAACAAAAUGCAAAAAAAAUACAGGCAGUGCUCUGCAUGUAGAGGCUGAAUUUAGUCAUGGUUACUUGCACUUUUGCUAGCCUGGAUGAAGUUUAUACCUGCCCAUAUAUGAUACCUUAAUUUAUUGGCAUGUUUUAAUUUGUUGAAAACAAGCUUAGAUCUCAUUUACUUAGAGAAAGAUCUGUCUUCUGGCAUAUUGAUGGUGUUAUUAAUGUAAUUGAUGAACUGGGAGGGGGAGUACAGU